rnacentral:lncRNA from 1 species
AAUCCGCGACCGCGAUCGCCGAUUUUUUGGGCGAAUUGUUCGCGAAUCGCGAUUAAUUCGCGAAUAAUAAUUUUUGACGAAAAAAUCGCGUUUUUUUUCAAACUUUUGGGAAAAAUACGAAAUUCGCCGUUUAAUUCGUAUUUUAAAAAAUACGCGUAUAAUUCGCGUAUUAAUCGCGAAUUAACUAACUAGGCUAUAUAUACGCCCCGUUUUCUCCCGUAGGAACGACGGAAAAAGAAUACGAUGUAAUUCGAGAAUCCACAAAAUCUUCCUUCUUCUCUCUCUUCUUCCUCUCUGGGAUUUCCACCUACGUUCCCGGGGUUUUAGAGCGUGGACAUAGGAGAGGACUCUGGUAGCCCUCUCCGAUUGGCAUCCGUGACGUAAGGCGAUCCGUUCCGUGACGUAAAGCGUACGCGUGGAAGAAGACGAGAAACGUGGGAGAUCCAGAAGCAUCGAGACAGGGACGAUCAAAGAAGGCUUGUAAAACGAGCAACCCGAUCCAAUUUCGGUUCCCGGAUACGUUGGCUAUCCGAUUUGUAAGUUUCCGCUGCCUAUUAUAUCCAACAGAAAAAAUGUCAUUUUCAUAAAUUCAUUC